rnacentral:lncRNA from 10 species
ACCUACAGGAGGUGAUUACAGUGCGUGUUCAGGACCCCCGAGUGCAGAAUGAGGGCUCCUGGAACUCUUAUGUGGAUUAUAAGAUAUUCCUCCAUACCAACAGCAAAGCCUUUACUGCCAAGACUUCCUGUGUGCGGCGCCGCUACCGUGAGUUCGUGUGGCUGAGAAAGCAGCUACAGAGAAAUGCUGGUUUGGUGUGAGUUUGCUCUUGCUUCCUUCUUGGGUCUGUGACUGGCUUUUUGGGUGCUUAUGUAGGAACUGGAGUUGACAAUGAAGAGAACUUGCAACAUACCAGGCACUAAGGAAAUUGGGAAAUAUGUUGUUUCUUUUUUUGUUUUUUGGGUUUUUUUUUUUUUUU